GCUGAAGUGGCGGAACUGGCAGACGCGCAUGAUUCAGGGUCAUGUGGUCUUAAAGACCGUGUGGGUUCGAAUCCCACCUUCAGCA
rnacentral:tRNA from 1 species